rnacentral:tRNA from 5 species
GGUCCCGUAGCUCAGUUGGAUAGAGCGGCAGAUUCCUAAUCUGUAGGUCACAGGUUCGAUUCCUGUCGGGAUCACCA